rnacentral:tRNA from 1 species
GUGGUGGCUCAGUGGUAGAGCACUUGCUUACCAUAUGUGAGACACUGAGUUCGAUUCUCAGCACCACA